AUGGCCCUGUGGCUCUAUGUCUGCGGGUAUAUUCAUAUCUGUCAUGCCCUUCAUCCUCUGUGUGCCCGUAUCUAUCCUCUCUCUGCAUCUAUCUAUCUAUCAUCUAUCUAUCAUCUACCUAUCAUCUAUCAUCUAUCUAUCAUCUAUCUAUAUCUAUCAUCUAUCUAUCUAUCAUCUAUCUAUCAUCUACCUAUCAUCUAUCUAUCAUCUAUCAUCUACCUAUCAUCUAUCUAUAUCUAUCAUCUAUCAUCUAUCUAUAUCUAUCAUCUAUCUAUCUAUCAUCUAUCUAUCAUCUACCUAUCAUCUAUCUAUCUAUCAUCUAUCUAUAUCUAUCAUGUAUCUAUCAUCUACCUAUCAUCUAUCUAUCAUCUAUCAUCUACCUAUCAUCUAUCUAUAUCUAUCAUCUAUCUAUCUAUCAUCUAUCUAUUAUCUACCUAUCAUCUAUCUAUCAUCUAUCAUGUAUCUGUCAUCUAUCUAUAUCUAUCAUCUAUCACCUAUCAUCUAUCUAUAUCUAUCAUCUAUCUAUCAUCUACCUAUCAUCUAUCAUCUAACUAUCAUCUAUCUAUCAUCUAUCAUGUAUCGAUCAUCUAUCUAUCUAUCAUCUAUCCAUCUAUUAUCUAUCACCUAUCAUCUAUCAUCUAUCAUCUGUCAUCUAUCAUCUAUCUAUCUAUCUAUCGUCUAUCAUCUAUCUAUCAUCUAUCUAUAUCUAUCAUCUAUUUAUAUCUAUCAUCUAUCUAUCAUCUACCUAUCAUCUAUCUAUCAUCUAACUAUCAUUUAACUAUCUAUCAUUUAUCAUGUAUCUAUCAUCUAUCACCUAUCAUCUAUCUAUCUAUCUAUCAUCUAUCUAUUAUCUAUCACCUAUCAUCUAUCAUCUAUCUAUCUAUCAUCUAUCAUCUAUCUAUCGUCUAUCAUCUAUCAUCUAACUAUCUAUCAUCUAUCAUGUAUCUAUCAUCUAUCAUCUAUCUAUCAUCUACCUAUCAUCUAUCAUCUAUCAUCUAUGUAUCAUCUAUCUAUCAUCUAUCUACCUAUCAUCUACCUAUCAUCUAUCAUCUAUGUAUCUAUCAUCUAUCUAUCCAGCCACUCACUCUUCUACCUAUUAGUCCAUCCACCUAG
rnacentral:lncRNA from 1 species